rnacentral:rRNA from 1 species
AGAGAGAGACAUGCGCGCAUAUCAAUAAGCGGAGGAAAAGAAACUAACAAGGAUUCCCUUAGUAACGGCGAGUGAAGCGGGAAGAGCUCAAAUUUGAAAUCUUCAAGGUUUUACCUUGACGAAUUGUAGGUUUAAAGAAGUGUUUUCUGCUGAAGUUUUGGUAAAAGUUCUUUGGAAUAGGACAUCAUAGAGGGUGAGAAUCCCGUAUUUGACCAUUAUUUUCAGCUUUGUGAUACACUUUCAAAGAGUCGGAUUGUUUGGGAAUGCAGUCCAAAAUGGGUGGUAAAUUUCAUCUAAAGCUAAAUAUUGGCGAGAGACCGAUAGCGAACAAGUACCGUGAGGGAAAGAUGAAAAGAACUUUGAAAAGAGAGUUAAACAGUACGUGAAAUUGUCAAAAGGGAAGCGUUUGACACCAGUGUUGUUUUCUCGAAAAUCAAUUAAAAAUGGCUCGAUUUUGUAUUGCUUGAGACCUUAAAAGCUCACUGUACAUUUUUCGUGUCUUUUUUAAUGCACUUUUCGUUUAACAAGUCAACAUCAGUUUCUUUUGUUGUAAAAGGGUCAUUGGAAGGUGGCUUUCUUUUCGGAGAAAGUGUUUAUAGCCUUUGGCCUCUGCAAUCGGAGAGACUGAGGUCUGCAGCGUAGACUCUUCGGGGUUAGAUACAUUUGUGCUAAGUUAUAGCUUUUUAUAGACAACUUGUUGACUAUAAUUAGUCUUGUAGCUUACUCGCUUAUGCUAUUUUACCUACGCUUAGGAUGUUGAAGAUGUAGCACAUCAU